rnacentral:lncRNA from 1 species
CUCAGGCAGAGAGAACUGACGCAGUCCAGGCCUCAGCUGGAGCUUUUAAGGAGCAAUCAACAUGUAACCAGAGCCACAGAACACGUCGAUUUAUAUUGUUACUCCAAUGUAUACCAUGAUGAUACCACUUCACUACAUAUUUCAUCGUCAUUUCUACCCUAACCCUAACGCAACUUAAUUAUUCAUAUCAGUAACAAGCUAAAUACCUAUACUUCAUCAAUGCAAUCCCUCUGUCAACAAUUUAGAUUUGUGAUCAAUCAAUGCAAUCAAGACAUUUAAUUUAAACAGACAUGUUUUUCUUUAAAUGUCUUUGAAAGAAAAAGCGUCAGCCGAAAACCACACAGAAUACAUUAUCAUAUAAUGAACACGAGCUAUCAGAGCAGCAGGUUCUUGAGGGUUGGACCAUUCGGCAUAGCUGGAAGCACUUGGGCCUGUUGUUUCCCAGCUAUAAAAGCCCCGCCUCUCUAGCUGACUCACUAGCUCUCUCUCUCUAACUUACUAUCAUCGCUGGUAUUCGGAGUAGUUGUGUUUUAACAUCCAACAUUUACUUUUCAUUAUACAUCACCACUCAUGCAUACAAACACUUUCACUACUGACGAUACUGACUAACACAUCUCAUCUUCUAUUUAGUUAUUUAGCUGGAUG